rnacentral:lncRNA from 1 species
UCAGUGACACAUCUUCCACUACCAAGCAAUGCGCCCUAGUGUGAGGCUGAUGUCAGUCUCCUUGAAGACACUUCAUCCCUUCAGGGUAGCAUGCACGACUUUAUGUGCUAUGAUUUUGUCCCUUGAUGAGAGAUGGUGAUUUCGGACAUGCAAAAGGAGCAACUCAAUUAAUCCACUGUGAUUUUAGUUGUCCCUGUCUGAUUACUAUUCAUAUUCAGUUAUGUGCCUGCAGUUUGAACUCAAUUAAAAAUACUAUAAUGUUGUUACCUUACUCAGGGGACCGCUAGUUCCAGAUUGGCACAUGAAAAUAUUCGAAAAAAGGGAUUGGCAUAAUACCUAAGUCAGCAGUGAGAACAGGAAGAUGUUAUUUGAUAUUCGGAAUGGUACUGUUUUAGCACCGCUUCUGAUUAAGCAUAAUUAAAUAAGAAGAGAAAGUGCUUGCUAAAGCAGCAUAAACAAUGUUAAACUCAUAAUGGCAAUAGAAUUUAAUGUAUUAAUAACAACGUGAGGGUAGAAGCUGAAGACCAUAAGUGUGGAAUCUGCAACCCAAAAUGAACUUGUCCAGGAGCAAGUCAUAAGAACACAAAUGAUGAUAAUCAUGUAUGGGAGGUAGCAUUCCCUAGAAGAAAAGUUCCAUAGCGCAAAUGAAAAGAAAGAAAAAGAAGGGUCUUUCCAGAGGAAAGCUACCUUUCAGUAUUCAAACACUAAUGAUUUGAGGUGAGCUUCAUCUAGAAAAGGAGGACAAUAGAACUGUUUAAGUCUUGUACUUAAAGAUUGUUGGGAUCACAGAGAUCAUACAACAUCCUGAACUGAAAGGGAGUGGUCACACUUCCAGCAAGUAUGCUUUUAUCACUUCAUGUUACUUUCAAUCAAGAACAAGACAUAAAACUGCGCUCAUCAUACAGUUCAAGCAUGGUGUCACAAGGAGCACGGGCGAGCAAGACACUAGUCCAAGUUACUAAGCAGUGUAGAUAGAAUAGACAUCUGAAUCCUGGUUCCUGUUGAAAUCUUGGAGGUGAGGUGGACGGCCAUAAUGCCACUGAACAAGGGUGGGUUAACAUAAUGAAGCAUAUUUAGGCCAUGUUUGGAAAAGUGGUUGCAAACCGCAAAAUCCUGAAAAUCCCUUGAACAUCAACCUUCCAAACAGGCCCUUACGCUGCCAUUCCUGCCCAGCGAGGAAAUACGUCGAACGGAUGCAGUGCACCACGGAAGCCUAAACAGACAAUGGACGAGGGAGCAAUCAUUACAAUUACAUACCAGCGCCAAGGUUCUCCCUCGGCUGCGUUGAAUGAACCCGUGAAGCAGCUCGGUCGGCGUGAAUGGCGAGGCAUCGAUGCGGAAGCGCGGACUCACCCUUCCUUCCGGGCCUCCGGCGCUGCCUGCCCCGUCAGCAAGUGAGGACAUGCUGGUCU